rnacentral:ncRNA from 1 species
CCCGCUUAAGAGCUGCUAGCAUUUGCAGGUUUGUCACUUCUUAGAGGGACUAUUGACUUGAAGCCGGGGUUUGAGAUGACAUUGACCUAUUCUCAAACUUUGAACAUGUAAAGAAGUGCGUUGGACAUUCGAAUGAAGAGCUUUCAAUGGGCCACUUUUGGUAAGCAGAACUGGCGAUGAGGGAUGGACCGAACGUGGUGUUAAGAUGUCGAAAUACACGCUCAUCAGACACCGCAGAAGGUGUCAAUUUGUCUAAACAGCCGGGAUCCGCUUGAGUGUGUAACAGCUCAGCUGCCGAAUGAACAAGCCCUGAAAAUGGAUGGCGCUGAAGCGUGUAUCCUAUACUUCACCGUCGUAGAGGUCGUUGUGCUGCAAAGGUGGG